GAUGAACGCUGGCGGCGUGCCUAAUACAUGCAAGUCGAGCGAACAGACGAGGAGCUUGCUCCUCUGACGUUAGCGGCGGACGGGUGAGUAACACGUGGAUAACCUACCUAUAAGACUGGGAUAACUUCGGGAAACCGGAGCUAAUACCGGAUAAUAUAUUGAACCGCAUGGUUCAAUAGUGAAAGACGGUUUUGCUGUCACUUAUAGAUGGAUCCGCGCCGCAUUAGCUAGUUGGUAAGGUAACGGCUUACCAAGGCAACGAUGCGUAGCCGACCUGAGAGGGUGAUCGGCCACACUGGAACUGGAACACGGUCCAGACUCCUACGGGAGGCAGCAGUAGGGAAUCUUCCGCAAUGGGCGAAAGCCUGACGGAGCAACGCCGCGUGGGUGAUGAAGGUCUUCGGAUCGUAAAACUCUGUUAUUAGGGAAAAACAAAUGUGUAAGUAACUAUGCACGUCUUGACGGUACCUAAUCAGAAAGCCACGGCUAACUACGUG
rnacentral:rRNA from 1 species